GGGGGCGUAGCUCAGCUGGGAGAGCGCAGCGUUCGCAACGCUGAGGUCGAGAGUUCAAUCCUCUUCGCCUCCACCA
rnacentral:tRNA from 1 species